UUAAUUAUAAUAUAAGAUUAAAAUCAACACCUCGAUACAUGAAGAACGGGGUAGGUAAUGGAAUGGGAAGUUGGAAAACUGACUUGACGUUUCCCGUGUUUCAACUAGUAGGCCCUAGAGAGAAAGAAAAUACAUGGGGUGCCAAACCAGGGUACAUGGCAGAAGGAUUUCUGACCAUCCAACACGCUGUUGUCAUGGCUAUUGCAGAAUAUGUGAAAGGUUCGGGUGUUGUCGACUCCUUUAAAGUACAGAUGCAACGAUAUCCCUACCCCCCCUAUAAGAGUGAUCCAUUCCUUUUUGCCUUGCAGUUUUUUUUCCCGUUGAUUUUGAUUUUGAGUUUCAUCUAUCCAGCACUGAACAUUGUGAAAAACCUUGUGAUUGAAAAAGAAAGACGACUGAAAG